rnacentral:rRNA from 1 species
UACAUGGGGUGCAAACGUUGCUCGGAAUUAUUGGGCGUAAAGCGCGCGUAGGCGGUUACUUAAGUCGGAUGUGAAAGCCCUCGGCUUAACUGAGGAAGUGCAUCCGAAACUGAGUAGCUAGAGUACGAAAGAGGGUCGCGGAAUUCCCGGUGUAGAGGUGAAAUUCGUAGAUAUCGGGAGGAACACCGGUGGCGAAGGCGGCGACCUGGGUCGAGACUGACGCUGAGGAGCGAAAGCGUGGGGAGCGAAUGGG